rnacentral:rRNA from 1 species
GAUGAACGCUAGCGGCAGGCCUAACACAUGCAAGUCGAGGGGUAUAGUUCUUCGGAACUAGAGACCGGCGCACGGGUGCGUAACGCGUAUGCAAUCUACCUUUUACAGGGGAAUAGCCCAGAGAAAUUUGGAUUAAUGCCCCAUAGUGUUAUAGAAUCGCAUGGUUUUAUAACUAAAGUUCCAACGGUAAAGAUGAGCAUGCGUCCCAUUAGUUAGUUGGUAAGGUAACGGCUUACCAAGACAAUGAUGGGUAGGGGUCCUGAGAGGGAGAUCCCCCACACUGGUACUGAGACACGGACCAGACUCCUACGGGAGGCAGCAGUGAGGAAUAUUGGACAAUGGGCGCAAGCCUGAUCCAGCCAUGCCGCGUGCAGGAAGACGGUCCUAUGGAUUGUAAACUGCUUUUUGUACAGGAAGAAACACUCCCUCGUGAGGGAGCUUGACGGUACUGUAAGAAUAAGGAUCGGCUAACUCCGUGCCAGCAGCCG